GCAGUCGUGGCCGAGUGGUUAAGGCCUAUGGACUAGAAAUCCAUUGGGGUCUCCCCGCACAGGUUCGAUUCCUGUCGACUGCG
rnacentral:tRNA from 1 species